CUCACGUUUUUUCACCUUCCAUGGAAGCUUGCUUUGAAACCUCCAUAAAUUUUCUCAAGUUAACCCUAAUUUUCAUGCUUUUGUGCACCUUUUCACAAAGUCCUUUGUGCUCUAUUACUCUUUCGCCUUGAAAACCCUCAAAAGUCUUAUUUUGAUACUUUCUCUCACUAGCUAGGUGUUUUAGAGAGAGAGAAAGAGACUUCUUAUACUAGCUUGAGGACUUUUGAGAAGGAGUUCAAUUACAAAGCUACCAAAGUUCCAACAAGACUCAUCCCCAUUCAGACCAUUAGUGGAAGUUGGAGUCGAUUUAAGAAUCAACAAGGAUAGCAACAUGGCCUUUUCUUGAUGUAAUAAGAAAUUUCUUCUUGGUGUUCUAUUUCUCGUUGCAACAAGAAUCUCU
rnacentral:sRNA from 1 species